rnacentral:lncRNA from 1 species
CUAAUCACCAAGGAGAGAAACCUGAAGGCCAGGGGUAGGGUAGGUGGUGGUGGUGGUGGUGGUGGUGGUGGUGUGGUGGUGGUGGUGGCAGUGGACAGCCUCCAAGGGCCAGGGAAGGGAACCAAGGAGCCCAUCCUCUGCAAUCAUAUUUACCAAGUCAAUAAUAACCAUUUACUGCUGAACUGUGUCUGCAAUGGUGCUGAGCACAUGACACGUAUUUUCUCAAUUCCUCACAGCAAUCCUAUUCAUUAGAUAUCAUUAUUUCCCCAUUUACAGACAAGAGGCAAAGAACCCCAGUUCAUCAUUACCAUGUCUGUGGUAGUUAACAGUUGGGUAAUACUUAAUGUAACACAGGCACAUUACAAGCAUUAUCUCACAGAAUCUUCAUGCUUAUUUGAGGAUGUAGGUUUUAUUAUUCCUUAUUUCCAUUAUAUCAUUGAGGAAGCAGAGGCUUAGAGAGGGUGUGUAUCAGUUGUAAGCAUUUACAAUGUAACAAACCAGCCCCAAAGUUAGUGGCUUGAGACAGAAAUCCCUCAUUUUUUUAGCGCAGGGAGGGGACAAUUUGGGCUGGGUUCCCCUGGGCAGUUCUUCUAGUCUCAGCUGGUCCAGGGAGAGCAUCAUGCAUCUGUGGUCAGAUGCUGGCCAGCGAGGGAGCUCUGCUUCAGGGGAUCGGUUGGUCGGAGGCUGCGUUUCAGUUACCUGUAGCCGACUGCGGUAUAGAAGCAGGUGAUCCUCCUGAUGGAUUAUCAGAAAGUCAAAAGUCAUCUACCACUAGGUCGAAAGGCCUGUGUUAUUCACCUCACGUCAUCUCAUCAUACGGCAUUUAAUCAUCUCACAUCAUCACAAGAGAGGUGAGCGAAAGAAAUAAGAUAUUUUGAGAGAGAGACUAUAUUCAUGUAACUUUUAUUACAGUGUAUUGUUACAGUUAUUCUAUUAUAUUAUUGUUGUUCAUCUCUUACUGUGCCCAACUUAUUUUUUAUUUUUUAAAGAUUUAUUUAUUUGAGAGAGAGAGAGAGAGCAUGAGCAUGGGGGGAGGGACAGAGGGAGAGGAGAAUCUCAAGUAGAUUCCCUGCUGAGUCCAAUGCAGGGCUCAAUCUCAUGACCUUGAGAUCAUGACCUGAAAUGGGUUGAAAUCUAGUUGAAAUCUAGAGUGGGAUGCUUAACCGACUGAGUGACCCAGGGCCCCUACUGUGCCUAAUUUAUAAAUUAAACUUUGUCAUGGCUCAGUAUGUACAGAAUAAAUAUAGCACAGAGCUUGGUACUGUGAUUUCAGGCAUCUGCUGGGGGUCUUGGAAUGUAUCCCUCACCAAUAAAGGGGCUA